rnacentral:lncRNA from 1 species
GUACUUGGAAGUUUCACGACUACUCAGUGACUUGGAUUUUUCAAGUCUCCAUCCAAGAAGUUUUCCUCACUCGGGAAAUUAAGGGAGCAUUACCUCAACCUACAUGCUUCACUCACAAAGCUUCAAUAUACAAUCUUCAACAAAGAAAAAAAAAUUUAAAGAACUUAGUGAAUGAGGCCUUGGUGUAUUUAACACAAUACAUUGAAAUGAAGCAAAUCUUAUUUAUUGAUACCUCCGAUAAGUUACAAAUAUGUACAUAUACAUGAAUCAAAAUAAACAAACAAGAUGAAGCCUUCACAAAGGUUGCUUAUGAGAAGUCUCAGCAGUCGGCAGAGCUUCAGAAAAAGGAAGCACCGGAGGGUGAUAAUUUGGAGCCUCAGUACUAGGUAGAACCCCAGAAGGAGGAGGCACCGAAGGUUGAUCAUUUGGAGCUUCAUUAUGCGGUAUAGCCCCAGAAGACGAAGACAAUAAAUGCCUUUGGAACAAACCCACAAACCUCUGAUGAUCAAGUAAAAUCUGACCAUCAGAUUCCUGCAGUUGGUCAAGCUUCCUCUUCAUGUUUGUAGCAUAGUCAUGUGCGAGCCUGUGCAACUGUUUAUUCUCAUGCUUGAGCCCUCUAAUCUCAUGUUUGAGACUUAUCACUUCAGCCGCCAAUGAUUCAACUUGGCGGGUUCGAGCAAAUAGGCGUUGGGCC